rnacentral:rRNA from 1 species
UACGUAGGGUGCGAGCGUUGUCCGGAUUUAUUGGGCGUAAAGAGCUCGUAGGCGGUUUGUCGCGUCGGCCGUGAAAUCUCCACGCUUAACGUGGAGCGUGCGGUCGAUACGGGCAGACUUGAGUUCGGUAGGGGAGACUGGAAUUCCUGGUGUAGCGGUAAAAUGCGCAGAUAUCAGGAGGAACACCCGUGGCGAAAGCGGCUCUCUGGGACGGUACUGACGCUGAGACGCGAAAGCGUGGGGAGCAAACAGG